AAUGGGAGGAUGGUCUUUUCCCUGAAUUUAGUCAGAAUAUGAUGUUAGACCUGUUUGCUUUAAAAGCCAUCUUACUAUUUGCUAUGCUAUUCUGUUUCUAUGAAAAGAAGCAAGUUUUGAUACAAUCAUAAUCAUUU
rnacentral:miRNA from 1 species